UCGCAUCCGAGUCCCGGCGGCGCCCUAUGCGGGUCGGGGCCCGACACCGGCCUUCUCCUCAAGGGCGCGGCCGCUGGUCGCACCCCACUUCGUUGCUGGGGCGGCUGAGGGCGGUGCAUGAGAUGGUUCUGAGGGUGGCGGGCCGGGUUCGGAGCGGUUCCUGCGGUGCUUCAGGCCUGGAGGGACCUCCAGUGCCUCUGCCGCGGCCGGCCGCGCCUUCCUCGGGAGGCUGCGGGCGAGCGCCUCGCAUUCCCCAUGGGUCGGCCGCGGAGAGGGUUUCCUAGGCCGGCUGGAGCGGGCACGGACACGCUGUUCCGAGCGCAGCCCUCGCCCUGUCAGGAAUUUAGCCUCCAUUGUUCGUAUCCGCAGUUAAACCCACCUUGAUGGGUAUGCGUGGUCUAACGCACAGCGGGUUUGGUUCUGGGCGCUGUUGUGAUAUAGUGAGUCUGCCUCGGGAGGGCCCUUGACGUGGCGCUCGAGUCUCCCCUGAGCAGGCAUCCCAGGGGAGGAUGUUCAGGGCUGAAGGGAAUGCACUGCGCCGGGGAAACGGUGGCCAGCUAUAUGCUUAAGGUCAUGUUCUGGAUGAAGCUCCUCCGAUUCUGGUGUUCUGUUCUAGGCCGGUGAUUGUCUUCUCCAAUUGAGAAACAUUAGUUAAGGUUACCAAUGGGCCGAGUGAUCCAGACUUUUCAGGUGGGGUGAGGGUGAAGAAGGGUGGUUUGCUGUUGCGUUCUUCAGGUGUAUGCCAUUUCUCCGGAAAGCUGAGAGAGAUAUAAUAUGCUGUGAUUGUGACAUUUGUUGUCAAAUUCCCAGAGGCAGUCAUAGAUUUCACUUUCGUUGCUUUAAGUGUUGGUAGUCAUAACUCUGGUUAUCUCUGGGAGUGAAAACAGGAGAAAAACCUUAGGAGUACUGUAAACAGUACUGGUUUGGAAACAAUGUUAAAUUUUAGAUUAAGAGAGUAUUCAGAGAGACAGUGCUUAAGCAAGUCCUUACUUUUUGAUCUGCAUUAUUUUCAUCACUUAAUUUUCCGGUUUUUUUUAUUUUCAACAGAUUUUGUAAAGAGUGUUUGGGUUGGUUAUAGGCAGUACGUGAAGAGAUCAGUUGGUAUCUUUUUGAUUUGAAAUAGUAGAGUUCUUCAACAUUCUGUUGUUUUAGGUAUAUGUUUGUACUUAAGUAUGCAUGUGAUUUUCUAAAUGGAUUCUGCCAGUCAACAUACAGUAAAUGAUCUGUUGUAGUUAAUACUUCCUUUGGAAAUCUCAUGUCAAGUUGUUGGGUUUUUUUUUUUGGUUUUUUUUUCAGUCAUACACUACUCAAACUCCUGACAAAAUAGUUGUUACACUGUGGGCAGACAGUCCUUUUUUCCUUAUUUCUUUUUCAUUUUCAGUUUCUUGUUAUUGGUAGAAUUCCAGUGUAUCAUUGUGUGUGUAUAUAUAUAUAUGCUUUUACAGACAAUAUUAUAUAUAUAGUACAUAUAUUAGUUACUGUAGAUGACUGAGGCCAAGCAUCUGAGGCUGGAGUGAUUUCAGGUGAAGUUACUUGGACUUGCUUAGUUUCCACAGUUACAAAGUGCAGUUAUAUGAAUAGAACUGCUUAAAAAUAAAAUUUGAUCUUCACUAGCUCUUCCUACUAGACACAGUAAUAGAGGUGUGAGAGCUUAGGUAAGAAGUCUCAGUCACCACUCUGCUGAUGGGAAAUUACGGAGGUGAUGAUAUCAACAACUGUUAUUAUUAGUAUCAAAAUAUGUUACCUCAUUAAGCAUCUUUUAGAGAACUAUAAAAAUUCAACUAUAAAAAUUCAAGUUGGAAUGACAUGGUUGUGUUUAUCACAAUAUGGAAAGAUUGAAUAUCAGAGUAUGUGGCUUUGUUAAUUGCUUUUUUUAACAAAAAGUUAAAAGUUUUCCAAGCAUUUGUACUCUUACAUAAAGUUAAAGUCUGUGACUUUAGAGAGUUCCACAAUUCAUAGUUGAAAAUUGUACACUAACUUAAUUGUAAAGAUUGGAAAUUAAUUUUGCACUUUUGCACUCUGUGUUGCUCUUUCUGUAAUCAUUUCUCUGUACCUCUUAUUUUUUUUCAUACAUUUUAUUCUGAGAAUUAGCUUGAGGGUUAUGAAAGUUGAGAUUAAUGAAAGUUAAUUGUUUCUCUAAAUUAUCUUGUAGGUGGCUUGAGAACCAAUCAGUGAUUCUGUAUAUUAUCUACAGAUGUGUAUCACAGAUUGAUUGAAGUAACUGGAGUUUCUCUGCUCUUUUACAAAAAUAAUAUUUUUGUAAAUUGGGUCUUAAAAAUCUGAGCAAAGCUGGAUCCAGAAUGUCUUCUCACAAAUAACCAAGUAAUGUGAUGAAUAAAACACGGAGGUGGUGAUCUGGUGACAGUCAAAAGAAAGAAUCUUGAUGUUACCUUUGUGUAGUCCUUCCCCAUAUAAACAAGGAGGCAAGGUUUUAAUUCUGAAUGAGCCCAUCUGUUUUUUGAUUUCUUCUGAGACAAACGACAUGGGAUUCUAGCAGCCAAACUUCCUCAUUGCAAACCAUCUUAAUCAUCUGCAGACCAGGUUUGUCCUCUAGAAUGAAUGAGGAAGAGAUAGUAAAGUAAUUAAGACUGGA